CCACAAUUUCUUAACCUCCCCGUUAAACACCCCUCACAGAUUUUCCCGAUUAUUUCUCUUCACCAAAUCGUAGAUCAGAUCUGAGCUCUCUCGUCCUGGUUCCUCCGUCCUCACGGCGUCAUGACGGCGUCGACACUGCAGACCACACCGGAGUCCAUCGAACAUACACUGCCUCAAGUUAUUCCUUUCUCCCAAAUCUCCUCCGUGCAGCGCAGCGCCUAGAGUCGAGCGAAGGCUGCGUCCUCGGCGGCACUAGGAGAGGCCGGGGAUGAAGCCGGCGAGGCCCUCGUGGUUGGUGAGCAUGGCCCAGACGACGUCGAGCGGAGCGCCGACCCGCACCCGCGCGCGCACUAGCCGCCGGUUCUUCUUCGGUUCUUCCCCGACAGUUUCCGCACCUCCAUCUCGAACGCGUACUGCUCGUCCUGGCCCUCUUCCACCUCCCUGCCCCCUGCGGUCAUUAGAUCCUUCCCUUCGUAGGUGUCCAGUGUCCUCGCCGGCGACAUCGGGGGCGCUCUCGGAGGAGGACGAGGAGGAGGCCGGGAGGGGGGUUCCGUUGGGAAGGGGCGGGGCGAGAGACGAAGCGGAUGCGCGCGGGGCUGCAGAAAUUGGUGGUGGUGGCGACGGUCAGGAGGAGGCAGAGGCGGAGGCGGAGGCGGAGGCGGUGGGGGUGGGGGCGGUCGUGGGGAGACGAGGAGGAGGGGCAGCAGGAGGCGGUGGGUGGUAUGGCCAUAGCAGCGCCCCCUUUCUAUCGUAGAACAACCACACGGACGGCCGCCGUGCAACACUCCUUACCCUCGCCUCUGGCAUGGCCGCCGGGAUGCAAUUGCCUGCCUGGCCUUCCUACUACAACAACCCCCAGGAUGCAACCGCCGUGCAGCACUCCUCACUGUCAAUGCCGUCCACGGCGACCAUAGCCACUCCCUCACGCAUUGAAGAGGAUGUUCCUCCGUCGCUUCCCUUGCCAUCGAAGUUAUCGUUUCGUCGUCGUCCACUUCCGCAUGGUCUACAUCCUCACAGCUCCCUUUCCUCUCCUGCAAGAACCUAAGAUCUGAAGAUGUCACUGCAACUACAAGUGAAAGGAUCCAAGAUCCUCACCAACAUACUUGCUUGAUGCUUUACAAUUACUGCUACGCUUGUAGAUAUAUAGAUAUACUUGGCUUGAAGUUGAAUUUCUACUAGUGUUGUUGGCUUGUUGCUGUACUCUUCCAUGGGUAUUGUCCAAUAGUAAUAUUCCAUGGGUAAUGUUCAAUAGCAUUUAUGGAACAGGAAAGAAUGCUAUUUAUAAAAUUAACUGACCAGGAUACUAAAGAUGUCUUGCUUGUGCUGCACAUACACAGGUAGUUUGUUUCUUUCUGUAACUAAAACGUUGAGUUUACUGAAUCUUGUGUCUUUCUGUAACUGAAACGUUGCGUUUACUGAAUCUUGUUUCUUUCUGUACACUGGCUAGUGAUCCUCGGCUGUACAUAUACUGCAGUAGUUUGUGUCUUUCUAUGACUGAGAGAAGUAGACAAACAUCAUCGGCUGCACUAAAUAGUGUUAUUUCGUACGAAUGUAUUGAUGUUUCCCUGUCAAGUUGGCCUAUGUGGGUGUCAAGUUGGCCUAUGUGGGUGUAUGCCAUGGCCAGGGACUGGUGUCAACUGACACAAGUCAUAUCUUGUAAUUUCUUCAUAAAUCUGUGUUAAUUACUGUCCAUAUACGUAUGCUGACCCCUUUGCAAUGAAGGCUGACACUAUAGUAGUUUUUGUCUAGCUUCGUCCCUGGCCAUGGCGACUGCGACCACGACCACAACUCCUGUAUUUUUGUAUUUUGGAGUGCCCCACGUUUUGUGUAAAUAGUCUCAAGUUUUCUUUUUGACUAUGUAAAAUAUUACCAAGUUAAUAUCAGAACCACUGUCCUAUACUGAACCAUACUGCCACAUUCAGCGUAUUUGACCUUGGUAGUUUGCUUACCACAUUCAGGCUACAUUUGAUUUCAUUUAAUCUCUAAAGCCUAGCUUAUUUUUGCUUACAACAGCUUCUGUAUAGACUUGAAUAGAUAUUUUUCCGGUCACUUUUUAUACCUGCUUUAAGUACCACAUUUCUUCUGAAAUUGACUGAAAUUAUGAUAUUACUUACAGAAGGGCACGGUGAUGAAUUCAACGCAAUAUCCUGCUAAUAGCAGAUUGAGUACAAUACACGGCAACUUGAUAAUAAUAUUUAUGUUCACUUCAAUAGCUAGGGAUGCGUCAGGUAAUGUGCACGCUUAAGAGGAAAGAGAUGAUGCACAUUACUCCUUUCUGCAAGUAAAGAAAGGAUUUUUUCCCGUAACAAGGAUGGGAAGUAUUUGCCAAAAAAAACAAGGAUGGAAAGUAUAACAGCUUACAAAAACCAACGUGGACAACACAGAUCUGGAACUCGAGUAAAUCAUACUCACAAAUAAGUUUUUGAGAAGAGAGACUUGGAAACCAGAGAAGAGGAGCGAAGAUCAAGACUAGAAUUUGAAAAAAAAAACAUGAUGGCAAAGUUUACAGAAUUGAGCCAACAGAUGGGAACCCAACAGCUGAUUACAUUCAUAUGCUUGCGACCUUGUAAGAUUUAUGUUGCUUAAUUGCAUUGCUAAAAGUGCACUUCUAUUUUCAGGUGCUAACGAAGAGGAUUAACAAAGGAAAUAGUAUCCAAACUUGCAAAAUACUCUUUUACAUAGAUCUACUCCUAAUAAGACUCCAGUUGCAAGGCCAACUAUUAUUUCUUCAAAUGCUCUCAUACAAGUUGCAACGAGGAAUUCUCGAAUGUUUAAAGCAAUGGAUCCAAAGAACUAGCUGGACUGGACUCUAGAUCAUGGACAGUUUAGUUUGGCACUUAAUUAGGAUGGCUAAAUUACAUCUGAGUUUCAUUUGAUGGAUAUUUGCUAUGAGAAUUAUGAAUUUAUGAAUGUACAUAUUAUAUGUAUGGUUUGGAAUAUUGUAAUUGAAUGCCUGUAUUUUUUUACGGUUGCAAUGGGCUAUUACCACAACCAACUUUUGGUUGAAAUAGAGUAUCGCCAUGAAAAGUUGGCAUUGU